rnacentral:antisense_RNA from 1 species
CAAUUUUGGUAACUGCGCUUUACAUAAGCCAGUUACCGAGGUUCAAAGAGUUGGUAGCUCAAUGAGCCAUAGAGAACCACUGUUGGUAGCGGUGGUUCUUUU